rnacentral:rRNA from 1 species
UCUAUGGCCAUACCACCUUGAACAUGCCCAAUCUCCUCUGAUCUUGGAAGCUAAGCAGGGUCAGGCCUGGUUAAUAUUUGGUUGAUGGAGGGUGCGGAAGGGAAAGGAAGGGGAUGAAAGAA